rnacentral:lncRNA from 1 species
UGUCGAGUUCGAUUCAUAAAUAUAAAUUUAAAUUUUGAAAUAGAUUUUAAUUUUUAAAGUUUAGGUAUACAUUAAAAAUAGUUUUGUAUGUUAUGAAACACAUAGAAAAUAUUUACUGUACAUAAAUGAAUUGAAAACAUACUUAAAAAUAAAUCAAUUGAAAAUACAGAUUCAUAAUUCACUUUAAUUUAAAUUUUUGUACUUAAAUUUAAUUUAAAUUACAAAUAUGACGUGUCUCGCUCAUGCACUAUUAGCUAGUAAUAUAAAAAUAUUAUAAAACUUAUUUUUUAGAUAUUUUAAAUACUGUACAUUAAGUCUAAUGAAACUGAUUGUUGUUUCGACAGUUCCAUUAUCGAAAACAACUGAGAAUACAAAAUUCUUCGUACUUUUAAAAAUAUUCCAACUGGCUCUCUCUCUUUCUAUAAGUAUAUAGAGAGAGUUGGGUACAAAUUACACACUUUUAGAUUAUACAAUUAUUACACAAAGUAAAAUUCAAUCAUAGAAGCUUUAAAAUGAAGAUCCCUAGAAAGUGAUUUACAAUAAAAAAAAAGACCAACAUGCAAAGAAUCUUAUUUUUUGAAACUUUAUACUUUAGUUUUCAAUAUGUUUCUUUCUUGAAAAUUUCGGUGAUAGAGUUUUAGAAUUGACGAUCAAUACUGUUAAACAUAAUUUAGAAUACAUAAACAUUCUAGAAAUUAAAUUUCAUAAAUUUUAAACAUUAUCUCCCUUAUGAUCGAAAGGCCUUAAAAUUGGUAAAUUAAUAGUUAGUAUUAGGUGUUUAAUUUCUAGUGUAAAAGAAUUCAAAUGGAUUGAAUUUUCGAUAGAAAAUUUUAUACACUAUCUAAAUCUAGAUCAAUAACUCUAAUCUUGAAUUAAAGAAUCCGGCACAAUAUUUUUAGAAUGUUAUCGAUUUUGACCACUCAUUUUAUAUCGAUUUUGACCACUCAUUUUAUAUCUGCUUGAUAGACUCUUUCAAAAAAUUAUAAAAUUCAAUUUUUAAGUACUUCAAAUGUUGUUUAUCAUGUUUAACAAUAUAGAUAUCAUCAAUAUGGAAGUUUCAUUCAUCAAAAAUAAUUUAUGAAUAUAAAGGCCUAUGUAGUCAUAAGAGUAUAAUAUAUAACAUAACCCGCUCUCUUAAUAUAUAUAGAGAGAGAGAAAGAGAGAAAGAAAGAGGGGAGACAGUAGAGAGAGAGAGAGAAAGAGAGUUCGCCUACUGUACUAUUAUAAGUGCGGUCAUCUUUGUACUUAUAAAAUCUUUUUGAUGAUAGAAUUUUGGAAUCAACAAUUUAUGCCGUUAAAUAUAAUUUUUGAUGAUAGAGCAUCUAAACAUUCUAGAAAUCGAAUUUUAUAAAUUUUUUAAUACUAUAUACUUUACAAUCAAAGGGCCUCAAUAUUGACAUUUCAAUGGCCCGGCCUGAGAUAGUUUAACGGUGUAAAAGAAUCAAAAUUAGUUAAAUUUUUAAUAGAAAAUUCUAUGCAUUAUCUAGAUAAAGAUCAAUAACUUUGAUCUUAAAUUAAAAAAUUUGAUCUUCUAUUUUCAUGAAAACGUUUGAUUUUGAUCGUUCAUUUUGUACCCGCUUGAUGGUCUUUAUUAUAAUUUCAAAAAACUAUGAAUUUAAUUUCUAAAUACUUCAAAUGACAUAGGUCAUAUUUAACGGUGUGGAUUAUCAAUUCGAAAUAGCUCCAUCAUCGAAUAUAACUUAAUUAUGUCUAUUAAGACCUCCGUACUCAUACUAUAAGAAAAUGCGGUCGUAGAGCCGGAUUUUAGUUGUU